GACGAACGCUGGCGGCGUGCCUAAUACAUGCAAGUUGAGCGCUGAAGGUUGGUACUUGUACCAACUGGAUGAGCAGCGAACGGGUGAGUAACGCGUGGGGAAUCUGCCUUUGAGCGGGGGACAACAUUUGGAAACGAAUGCUAAUACCGCAUAAAAACUUUAAACACAAGUUUUAAGUUUGAAAGAUGCAAUUGCAUCACUCAAAGAUGAUCCCGCGUUGUAUUAGCUAGUUGGUGAGGUAAAGGCUCACCAAGGCGAUGAUACAUAGCCGACCUGAGAGGGUGAUCGGCCACAUUGGGACUGAGACACGGCCCAAACUCCUACGGGAGGCAGCAGUAGGGAAUCUUCGGCAAUGGACGAAAGUCUGACCGAGCAACGCCGCGUGAGUGAAGAAGGUGUUCGGAUCGUAAAACUCUGUUGGUAGAGAAGAACGUUGGUGAGAGUGGAAAGCUCAUCAAGUGACGGUAACGACCCAGAAAGGGACGGCUAACUACGU
rnacentral:rRNA from 1 species